rnacentral:rRNA from 1 species
UACAGAGGGUGCAAGCGUUAAUCGGAAUUACUGGGCGUAAAGCGUGCGCAGACGGUUGCGUAAGUCAGAUGUGAAAGCCCCGGGCUCAACCUGGGAAUUGCAUUUGAGACUGCGUAGCUAGGGUGCGGAAGAGGGAAGCGGAAUUUCCGGGUGUAAGCGGUGAAAUGACGUAGAUAUCGGAAGGAACACCAGUGGCGAAAGCGGCUUCCUGGUCCAGCACCGACGUCAGGCACGAAAGCGUGGGGAGCAAACAGG